rnacentral:rRNA from 1 species
AGUGAACGCUGGCGGUAGGCCUAACACAUGCAAGUCGAACGGCAGCACAGUAAGAGCUUGCUCUUACGGGUGGCGAGUGGCGGACGGGUGAGGAAUACAUCGGAAUCUACUUUUUCGUGGGGGAUAACGUAGGGAAACUUACGCUAAUACCGCAUACGACCUACGGGUGAAAGCAGGGGAUCUUCGGACCUUGCGCGAUUGAAUGAGCCGAUGUCGGAUUAGCUAGUUGGCGGGGUAAAGGCCCACCAAGGCGACGAUCCGUAGCUGGUCUGAGAGGAUGAUCAGCCACACUGGAACUGAGACACGGUCCAGACUCCUACGGGAGGCAGCAGUGAGGAAUAUUGGACAAUGGGCGAAAGCCUGAUCCAGCCAUACUGCGUGGGUGAAGAAGGCCUUCGGGUUGUAAAGCCCUUUUGUUGGGAAAGAAAAGCAGCAGGUUAAUACCCCGCUGUUCUGACGGUACCCAAGGAAUAAGCACCGGCUAACUUCGUG